AAAAUUUGAACCCUAAAGAAACCACCUAAACAUAAUUGGUCAAGUUAUGCAUCCUUCCAUCUGAAGGGACUUUGACACGACUUAUGUUGGUUGCAAUACACAAUCAACAGCAUUGUUCGUAGAGAGGUGGAAUGUCUCAAGCAAUAAAUUGUGUUCUAACGUAGUCCCAAACCUUGACCAAAAUGAUUGCUU